rnacentral:rRNA from 1 species
GAUGAACGCUAGCGGCAGGCCUAACACAUGCAAGUCGAGGGGCAGCACAUAAAGUGGUUUACUACUUUUGGUGGCGACCGGCGGACGGGUGCGUAACGCGUAUGCAACCUGCCUCCAACAGGGGGAUAACGGAGAGAAAUUUCCACUAAUACCCCAUAAUAUCAGAAUCGGCAUCGGUUUUGGUUGAAAACUCCGGUGGUUGGAGAUGGGCAUGCGUUGUAUUAGAUAGUUGGUGAGGUAACGGCUCACCAAGUCAACGAUACAUAGGGGGACUGAGAGGUUAGCCCCCCACACUGGUGCUGGGACACGGACCAGACUCCUACGGGAGGCAGCAGUGAGGAAUAUUGGUCAAUGGGGGCAACCCUGAACCAGCCAUGCCGCGUGCAGGAAGACGGCUCUAUGAGUUGUAAACUGCCUUUACAAGGGGAUAAAUCGGUGUACGUGUACACCGUUGAAGGUACCUUGGGAAUAAGGAUCGGCUAACUCCGUGCCAGCCGCCGCAGUAA